GCCUAUCGGAGUGCGGAGCUUCAGAGCUGCGAACGAGGCAAAACAAACCUAAGCGUGUUAGUUUCUAAAGAUAGUUUAUUUAGUUGUGAAGUCUUCCUUAAUUCCUCGUGUGUGUAACUUGAUAUAAAAUCCAACAGUAUACAGACCAAUACAGACUCAUACGGAAGUUAAUAAAUCCUCAUUAAAGAGUAAGCAUCGGAUGUGCCCUGUCCUAAGAGUGUUCUUAUCGAUACCCCAUGGCGACAACAAAUUCCACCUGAACUAGUGCAGAGCCUCACCUACAAAGUGGUCCUUCGAGCCCGAUGGGUUGUCACCAUGACGUUCCCAGGGCACAGGACCUCCAGCUCCGCACCUACUUCCUGUCAGCAUCCAGGCAGAGUGACGCAGAGGCCAGCACGCUUUGAUGACUACCUGGUCAGCUAUACCGGUGAGCCAUCCACAGAUUCAGUCAGACGUAGUGAACCAGUAAUGGCUACACCAACUUCCCUUAGUCCUAAGUAGUCCGAGGACAUGACCAGUCCAACUGAUGACCUUAUGCAGCAGAUUGUGGCGAUCACAAGGCAGCAGAGUGAGACAGCUUGGCGCCAGACAGAACUCUUGGAGCAAGUGCUUCUGCACGGCACUCCAAGGGUAUCCUGCCAGUCCUCCAGAGCUUCAUCAUCUCACCAGACGCCUCAGGCCCCAAUCCCACUACAAUUAGAUCCAAGCCCGCAUGAUGUAUGUUCAAACCUGCCUCAUACGCCACCACCUCCACUGGCUCUGCAGAGUCCCCACCUGAGUAGCACCCAAUUCCCCUCUCCACCUCCUAUAAGCAGAGACCCAUCCCUUUCUGAGCAUUACUACACAUCACCAUGCCAUACCUCAGUUACAGAGAGGAUCUGACCAUAUCAGAGUAAAGAGUCAUUGCCCUUACGUCCAGUAUGGAAGCAGGACCCAUCAGUGCAACCCCACUUCUAGUCCUCCUACCAGCCAGAACAGGCAUAUGCUCCAAACCCCCCUUCUCCAUUGGGUCCUGAGCUCCAUGUGCAGCCUGCCCCAACUGCAACACCACUCCCCUUGUUCAGUCAGCAGUUCAGGAUCCCCUUCAAUCUAAUGUCAAUCCUAUGCCUUAUUACCCUGCCUAUUUCCCCCCUCAUGGAUUCCCAUUAGUUGAGGAGCCCACCUUUCCAGAUUUCACAAGGGAAGACAGGGUUCAAUAUGUUGAAUUUAGAAUAGCUUUGAGCAAUCUUCUUCACCCCAUUCUUUCCGAGCAUUAUAAGUAUUCAAUCCUCCUCAAGCAUGUGAAGGUCCCUAAUGCCCACAGACUCGUCCUAGCAUAUGCAGAGUCUUCCAUGCCCUACACUAACGCAUUGCAGGCACUAGGCAGAAGGUAUGGAUGACCCUAUCAGUUUGUGUUGAAAGAGAUUGAGACCUUAGAGAGUCUACCACUCAUUUGCACAGGAGAUGAACGAGCCUUUGAUGAAUUCUCCCUCCGUGUUCAGGCCAUAGUAAGAAUGCUCAAAGCCUUAAGAGAGGAUGGUAUUGAGGAGCUACAUAGUGGUUCCAAUGUGCAGCGUCUGUUGCGCAGGUUAACCUGCCAUGACAAGGCAAAGUUCUCCAUUAUUGGGUUUGCAGACUGGCUGCAGUUGGAGGCCAACUGCAUGGAAUUCGAUCCCACAAGGGCUACAGGAGGAAAGGGAGAGGUGAAGGAGCAGACGGCCAUAUCUCGGACUCAGAGGGCCACAACCAUACUGCAACAGAGCACAGUACGUCAGACAGUCCAAACUGCAUCAGCCCAGCCCAAACCUCCCAUGAAGGUCAAGCCCACUUGCCCGCAUUGUAACUCCACAGCACAUUACCUGAGUCAGUGCACUUCAUUUGCAGCCCUCAACAAGGAUCAGGCCAUUACCUGGAUAAAAGACAACGAACGCUGCUGGAGAUGCUCUCGAUCUCACCUAACAAAGGACUGUGACCUUAAGAAGCCCUGCCAUUUUUGCCAGGGUAAGCACUUAUCGGCCCUUCAUGACAUUAAUACACGAAACAGUGAGGCCAGCAAGGAAAGCAGUAGUCUCUACAAUGCCAUUACAGAAGCACUUUACCUGGAUCAGCCUUGCUAUGGGACUGAAGUGUUCCUGAAGGUUAUCCUGCACCAGCAGCUGAGGGCCCUGGAAACAUUUGCCAUCCUUGAUGAUGGUUCAGAGCGCACUAUUGUGCUUGCAGCCGCGGCACAACAGCUUGGAUUAGGUUCACAAGUUUCCACAGCCAUGAGAGGACAGGCCAUGACUUGCUGGUACAAUUUCCUAUUACAAAUUUAUUUGCGGCUGUGCUGAUUCCCAGCAGAUUUUUAUUUUUAAUAUUUCAAACUGCUUUGGAAUUCAUCAUGUUCUGGAUUCUGGUCAAAAGCAGAUGCCACCACAAAGCAGGAUCUACAAGAUGCAAAAUGACAAUGAAAUUUUAUCUAGAUUCAACCUAUUGGUUGAACACUCAUAAUUAAUCUCUCCUCCAGAAGAAACCCGGUGGAUUUCUGGUCCAUUUGGCCAGAGUGCUGGAGGGUUUCAGCCCAUCAACCAGCUGGGGAUGGUGAAGGUGCAGAGCACUGGGAGAUGCUCAUGGAGCAGCUAUUUUACAUCUUUACUGGUGUCUCCUUGAAGGACAUGAGCACCUACCAGAACCCAAACUGUACCAUAGAAGAGCAUACAAGAUUAUGUGGAUCUUGAAAAAGUCUCAUUUUUACCAAGCAAAAUUAAGCUAAAAUAAAGUGGUUAGUCGUCUAAAGGUUAAAUGUACAGAUUUUAUCGCGGUAUAGUUAAAAUGUGCUGCAAAUGUUCGCUAAGUAUUGAUACACAACCUGGAAAUAAACUGAAACAGCAAUAUAACUGGCAUGAUUUUUUUCCGUAGUUUACCUCGACAUCGGUAAUUGUUUUCAUCAACUUAUUUGUCUGUUACCCAAAUACAUGUAUUUUGUAGGGGGUGCCAUUUUUUUUACUAUGAGCGAAAUGACUCGGCUCUCACAACACAGCCUGCCUCGUUCGUCCUGACUGAAAAAUCACUGUAGCCUGUAAGCUAAAUGGCCAAACUUUGUCAGAAAUACGGUUAACAUUGGUUAACACAAAAUGUAACCUUACCUUUAUAAAAUA